AAGGCACGCGGUGAAUGCCAA
rnacentral:miRNA from 1 species